rnacentral:lncRNA from 1 species
CUAAUGUUUUAGUAAAGGUGUCAUUCAUGCUGCUGCUCCUCUGUUUGCUUUACAACUACAUCAUAUUCUAGCCUUGAAAACCUCCUGGACAUUGAUUUCUUUUAUGGAUUUAAAGGAACACUGCUUCAGAGUGACAACAUCGAUGGCAAACCUAACGAAUUACCCCAGGUAUUAUGAUCAACCAGGAAAUUUUGUGGCCAAGUAUCUCUAGAGAGCAUUCAGCAGGAAAUCCAGCCAACCAGGGUGAUUCUGGGAAUCACAGGUUGUCAUUGUCCCUGGCACUAAGAGCAGAAAGGCAAAUAUGGUGCCAGUGACUCAGACCUGCAUUGCUGGUACCUCACUGGGGAGAUGCAGUGCAGGAAGGGACCUGCCAUCCUCAGCCCCUGCUUGGUACCUGUAAGCACUGAGUUUUCUGUCACCCUGCCCUUUUCCCUGUGGGUUGCCUGGUCCUUCUCUCCUAGCAAACACAGAGAAUCAACAUCGUUGAUUCAGCUGGACUUUGAACUGAAGUGUGUUUCCAUAUUUCUGAGCCUUGGGAUCCCAUGUGUGCCACAUUUGAAAGCAGAAUCUGUACUGACAAGUACCCAGGAAGAGUAUGGGAGAGUCAAGGGAUCCUGAAGGGCAGAAAGCCCAAGCCAGCCCCAGAAGCCUCUUGUUGGAAAAUAAAGGACUGAGUGAAAAUUGAAGAAAAAAAAAU